rnacentral:rRNA from 1 species
UACGAAGGGGGCUAGCGUUGCUCGGAAUCACUGGGCGUAAAGCGCACGUAGGCGGAUUGUUAAGUCAGGGGUGAAAGCCUGGAGCUCAACUCCAGAACUGCCCUUGAUACUGGCAAUCUCGAGUCCGGAAGAGGUAAGUGGAACUCCUAGUGUAGAGGUGGAAUUCGUAGAUAUUAGGAAGAACACCAGUGGCGAAGGCGGCUUACUGGUCCGGUACUGACGCUGAGGUGCGAAAGCGUGGGGAGCAAACGG